GAUGAACGCUGGCGGCGUGCCUAAUACAUGCAAGUCGAGCGAACAGAUGAGGAGCUUGCUCCUCUGACGUUAGCGGCGGACGGGUGAGUAACACGUGGAUAACCUACCUAUAAGACUGGGAUAACUUCGGGAAACCGGAGCUAAUACCGGAUAAUAUAUUGAACCGCAUGGUUCAAUAGUGAAAGACGGUUUUGCUGUCACUUAUAGAUGGAUCCGCGCCGCAUUAGCUAGUUGGUAAGGUAACGGCUUACCAAGGCAACGAUGCGUAGCCGACCUGAGAGGGUGAUCAGCCACACUGGAACUGAGACACGGUCCAGACUCCUACGGGAGGCAGCAGUAGGGAAUCUUCCGCAAUGGGCGAAAGCCUGACGGAGCAACGCCGCGUGAGUGAUGAAGGUCUUCGGAUCGUAAAACUCUGUUAUUAGGGAAGAACAAAUGUGUAAGUAACUAUGCACGCCUUGACGGUACCUAAUCAGAAAGCCACGGCUAACUACGUG
rnacentral:rRNA from 1 species